CCCUCCCCUCCCCUCUCCGCCUCCUCCCUGUUCCCUCCUCUGCCGAACACCACAGCUAGCGUGCGCGGGGGGGUGUGGUGCUCUCGCUCUGCUCUCGGCACGCCGCCUCCUGCCUCGCACACUCGCUCUCCCUCCCACUGUUCCCCGCUUGGUUGGGUUUGGUCUGAGGAGGAGCGAGGGAUUGGUGGCGUGGAUUCGGGGGGAGGGGAGGUGGGAGAUCGGCCGCCGGAGGAGGUAGCGGGGGUGAUCCUCGGGGGGAGGUUCUUGCGUCGGUCCGGCGGUAAUACGAGGGGACCCGCCCAUGGCGUGAGGAAAGGGCCUGGCUUUGGUUGCCCUCCCCGGAGAUCUUGCGGCUGCUGCUGUUUGCUGCUAGCUGAAGGCCGUUCGGUAGCCGAGCGGGCCGAGGGGGACGUCUCCCUCUC
rnacentral:lncRNA from 1 species